UACGGGGGGGGCAAGCGUUGUUCGGAAUUACUGGGCGUAAAGGGCGCGUAGGCGGCCUGCUAAGUCGAACGUGAAAUCCCCGGGCUCAACCCGGGAACUGCGUCCGAUACUGGUGGGCUUGAAUCCGGGAGAGGGAUGCAGAAUUCCAGGUGUAGCGGUGAAAUGCGUAGAUAUCUGGAGGAAUACCGGUGGCGAAGGCGGCAUCCUGGACCGACAUUGACGCUGAACGGCGAAAGCUAGGGGAGCAAACGGG
rnacentral:rRNA from 1 species